CGGACGGGUGAGUAACGCGUGGGGAACCUGCCCUGUACCGGGGGAUAGCAGCCGGAAACGGCUGAUAAUACCGCAUAAGCGCACGAAUGUCGCAUGACAUGGUGUGAAAAAACUCCGGUGGUAUAGGAUGGACCCGCGUCUGAUUAGCCAGUUGGUGGGGUAAAAGCCUACCAAAGCGAAGAUCAGUAGCCGAGUUGAGAGACUGACCGGCCACAUUGGGACUGAGACACGGCCCAGACUCCUACGGGAGGCAGCAGCC
rnacentral:rRNA from 1 species